GGGGCGGGGGGCUCGGCUCCGCCAGGCCUCGCGGCCCCGCCCGCCCACGGUCACGACCGCCCGGCGGGGUGCGCGCGGCUGCAGGCCCCGAGCCGAGCGUGGAAGCGGGACGCGCAGGGAGCGUGACGGCGGCUGGACGGAGGCAGGCGUGCGGGAGGGGAUGGAGCCCCUUGCUGCCAGCAGUGUCGUCACGCGCCCGGUGACUCCGCUGGCAGAGCGAGGCAAGCAGAGGACUGAGGAUCAUUAGGCUUCCAGAAGGAGACUGGAGCGAUAUUAGCCGCCUAGGAGUGAAGGGAGUGGCCGGGAUCAAGGGAGUCAUUCAGCCGGCCUGCCUGCGACGUUCACAGCUUCCUUCUAAGUUAGAGAAACGAUUCGGAGGCUGCCGACUCGAGGUGAAAAUCUUGCCACCUGUUAAAAUGAAGGUGCGUCCCCAAUAUCCGGUUUCUCCCUUCGACAGAAGAUGCUCGGAGGAACUUUCACCCACUACUCUGAUCCUCUAGCGUUUCCAAAGAUGGAGUUGGAACUAUGCUUCAGGAGCAGAGUUGUGAAGUUAUGAAUAAUAGGAGUUCGCCUUCCACCCACUGGCCAGACGUGGGAGAGAAAGAGGUAACCUCUUCUGGCCUCAGUUUCCAGCUCCUUAUUCACGCCUUUGCAGCCACCCUGCCCUCCUUGUUUCCUGAACAUUCCAAGCCUGCUGCCGCCACAGGGUAUUUGCACCAGCCCCGUCCUCUCCGCUUAGACGUUGCGCAGACACCUCCUCAGGGACACCUCGGAGAGGAACUUACUGGAAAGCAUCACCCUCCCUGCACGCCUCCUCCCUUUUCGCUGAUUUAUUUGCUUCUCACAGCGUUUAUACCUGCAAACACACUGUACCAUUGACCUGCUGAUGGCGUUUGUUGUCUGCCUCCCUCUGAAGGAAUCUAGGUUCUGUAAGGCAGAGAUGCUUCCUCUCCUCUUCACGGCUGUAUCCCCGAGAACAGAAUCAGACAUACAGUUGGCCCCAAGGAAUUAUUUGCUGACUUACUGAGCAUGAUUCUGUCUGAAAGAUUGGCUGCACGAGGGGAACCUGGUCUCUGACUUUGAAUGAAACGGAAUUAGCAUCCGGUUGCAUAGUAGAUGGGACUGAUCUAUUCUUCCAGCUCUUUUCUCUGUGUCACAAAGGGAAAGAAUAACUCCUUUUCCCCCUGCACGCCCACUCCACAGAGAAAUGCUUUGAGACUCAAUUAAGCGGUGCCAUGGAGAACACAUUUCGAAUUUCCAGAAGAAAGCGCUGUAUUCAUUUGAGGCUUUCAUUGUGUGAAAGAGCUGUGAGUGACACGGGGCUGCAAAGCACAAAGAGCAGGACAGGGUAAAGGGAUUCCGCCGCUCACAUGUUACCUUGGCCUUUCACGGGAUCAUCGAUUUGAGACUGAAAAACGCAAAGUGGUUUAAAAAAUUUUAUCCCAGGUGACAGAUGUUUAAGAAAUACCUUCCUCUUUGUAGUCCAUUCGCAGUGAUUUAUGGCACAACACUCUCAUUCAUGAACGAGUCUCCGCUUUCACCAACUUUUGUCUAUUUUAUGGCCAUUCUCUUGCUCAUUAGAACUCCCACACCAAGGUCCAAGGGCUGGCGGGUCAGGGAGGAGCAAAAACUACAAUUUGUCCUUGUCAGGAGUUUAUUUAUCUCUCCUGUUUGUCAGGACCCAGAGGUGAGGCCAUGUGAGAAUCACAGGAUUGGAGACACACUAAAUGCAGCCAGUUCAAUGCACAAAUUGCUAGAUUAUUGCACACGAUCAGCUCAGGAGACCAGGUAGGCCAAGUGGGAAAACAGACCGGGGUAUUGAAUCACUCCGCGGAGGAGUCUGGGGAGGAGGCGGCCCGGGUCCAGCCGCCCUGGGUCCCGCAGCCCGGCUCAGGACAAGCGACAAGUCUGAGUGGGGACUCACCCUUUGCUCCAAGGGAGCCCCGGGCAGCGUCCCCAGAACAGUUUCAGCAGCACAGAGUCCGGUCCUCCUCCAAAGAGCCACCCUGCUCCGCCAUCUGGUUUUAAGAGGUCUGUCUGCGAGUUCCCAUUGUGGCUCAGGGGUUAAGGACCCGACUAGUAUCCAUAAGGAUUUGGGUCAGAUCCCUGCUUUGCUCAGUGGGUUAAGGAUCUGGCAUUGCUGUAGCUGUGGUGUAGGCCGGCAGAUGCAGCUUCAAUUCAACCCCUGGCCUGGGAACUUUCAUAUGCCGCAGGUGCAGCCCUCAAAAAAAAAAAAAAAAAUUCUGUCUGUCAAUAGGAGUAACAGCUACACUCCAGGUGAUCUUAUCUCAAUCUUAUCUCUACCAGUCGCCCCCCAGUUCCAAUGACAUAAAUCCCGAUUUGCCUAAUAAAUCCCUUAUCUAAAUUAGCACUCUUAGUUUACUACUCAGACACCUGCAGUCCUACAGAGGAUGUUUCGAAACAACUAAUAUGAAAGUUCACAUCAGCCACUGUGACUCCAUUUUUAGCUAAUGAGAGUAGCUUAAAACAGCAUAAACCCUAUAACUUUCACACAAGAUGAGUAGAAAUCCUUAACACAAAAGAAAUCCUAUCACAACACUCCUUCUGUGGAAAUGUUUAAAUUCUGAUAUAGAUGACUUCCAAAAUGACAUGAUUUUUAAAUGUUAUACAUACUUUUCAAUUAGUUGGCAAAUUUGUUGAGUACUUAUGAGUGAGAGACUAUAUAAAUUUGGGAAA
rnacentral:lncRNA from 1 species